rnacentral:rRNA from 1 species
AAUGAACGCUGGCGGUAGGCCUAACACAUGCAAGUCGAACGGAUCCCUCGGGAUUAGUGGCGGACGGGUGAGUAACGCGUGGGAACAUACCCAAAGGUACGGAAUAGCCUCGGGAAACUGGGAGUAAUACCGUAUGUGCUCGAAAGAGGAAAGAUUUAUCGCCUUUGGAUUGGCCCGCGUUGGAUUAGGUAGUUGGUGGGGUAAUGGCCUACCAAGCCGACGAUCCAUAGCUGGUUUGAGAGGAUGAUCAGCCACACUGGGACUAAGACACGGCCCAGACUCCUACGGGAGGCAGCAGUGGGGAAUCUUAGACAAUGGGGGAAACCCUGAUCUAGCCAUGCCGCGUGAUCGAUGAAGGCCUUAGGGUUGUAAAGAUCUUUCAGGUGGGAAGAUAAUGACUGUACCACCAGAAGAAGUCCCGGCUAACUCCGUGCCAGCAGCCGCGGUAA